GGUUAAGCGACUAAGCGUACACGGUGGAGGCCCUGGCAGUCAGAGGCGAUGAAGGACGUGCUAAUCUGCGAUAAGCGUCGGUAAGGUGAUAUGAACCGUUAUAACCGGCGAUUUCCGAAUGGGGAAACCCAGUGUGAUUCGUCACACUAUCAUUACGUGAAUACAUAGCGUAAUGAAGCGAACCGGGGGAACUGAAACAUCUAAGUACCC
rnacentral:rRNA from 1 species